AUACGGAGGAUCCAAGCGUUAUCCGGAUUUAUUGGGUUUAAAGGGUGCGCAGGCGGAAGAUUAAGUCGGCGGUGAAAUUUUGCAGCUCAACUGUAAAAGUGCCUUCGAAACUGGUUUCCUUGAGUGUAGAUGAAGUAGGCGGAAUUUGUGGUGUAGCGGUGAAAUGCUUAGAUAUCACGAGGAACUCCGAUUGCGCAGGCAGCUUACUAAACCACUACUGACGCUCAUGUACGAAGGCGUGGGGAUCAAACAGGAUUAGAUACCCUGGUAGUCCACGCAGUAAACGAUGAUUACUAGUUGUUUGCGAUACAAUGUAAGCGACUGAGCGAAAGCGUUAAGUAAUCCACCUGGGGGGUACGUUCGCAAGAAUGAAACUCAAAUGAAUUGGCGGGG
rnacentral:rRNA from 1 species